rnacentral:rRNA from 1 species
UACGUAGGGUCCAAGCGUUAAUCGGAAUUACUGGGCGUAAAGCGUGCGCAGGUGGUUACGCAAGUCUGAUGUGAAAUCCCCGGGCUCAACCUGGGAACUGCAUUGGAGACUGCGUGGCUAGAGUGUGGCAGAGGGGGGUGGAAUUCCGCGUGUAGCAGUGAAAUGCGUAGAUAUGCGGAGGAACACCGAUGGCGAAGGCAAUCCCCUGGACCUGUACUGACGCUCAUGCACGAAAGCGUGGGGAGCAAACAGG